rnacentral:lncRNA from 1 species
AUCCACUCCUCCCUGUCCUGUACUGCAAGUCACACAUUUUUGUCUGCUUUUAUGACAUGAUUAUUGAAGCUCAGGUUGCCUCUGAGCAAGCAUUCAUUGACCAGGUAGUCAGGCCUAUCUCUGCUCCUGCAGAGUUCAUCCCACUGCCAGCCCCUGCCUCGUGCUCAUGGAUCUCCUGGUGCCAUCAUGCUGGGAAGAGGGAGGCCGUGACAAGGCAGCAGAGGUUUUGGCUGCAAAACUCACAGGUUUUGGCUGCAUCCAUUCUCUUGUCUAAUCCACUUCUCAUCCAUCCCUGCGAACAGUGUGGUCCAAAGUUCCAAGGAGUAGAUUUUCAACAUAUAACUACAGACCAAGAGCAAAUACAACAAACCCUAAUAUCAGUAUCAGUGUCACUAGUGACCUAGUCUGCUGAGCAAGUCACUGGAAAUCCUGUUUUCCUGGCUGUAGUCAAACCACAUCUGUUUGUUUCUGAUCAGUGAAGACCCAAGCACUGUUCAUGGUCUGAACAGAACCACAGCCUGCUCCCAGGGAUGCUGGUGAAGAUUAGCAGUGAACUGGGACUCUUACCCAAACAUCUUACCCAUUAUGGAUGUCUUUGUGCUCUAUAAAUCAGAUGCAUGUGAACAAACACCCUACUCAGAGGGUAUUUCUGUAAGAAUAACUGCAUGGCUGAUAUUAAGUACUUGUACUUAGUACAGUGAGGCAUUGUGGGGAUCUCAUUCCUUUUAGCACUGGGAUAGAGGGUUUAGCUAAUUUGUUUAUUGAUAUUUUUCCCUGGGUCAAGUGGCAACUUUAGCACUAAAACACUGCCUCAGUUAGGAAAGCAGGGAAACAAAAAAAAAUAAUAAAAUCCUCUGUUCUGCCA